GAUCACAGUGGACCUUGCUUCUCUUCUAAUAAUGAUUGGACUCUUCAUGUGUCAGCGGAGAAGAUGGUGUGUCCGUGACAGAACAGGUCUGUAAGGGAGAGAGAAGCAAAGAAAUGAGAUGACAGCCUGGAAUCAGAGAGAACUGUCCCUGUUCUUACCCAGUGCAUAGCUCAGACAACUCCAGCAGGUGUUCUUUCAUCAAUGUGUCUACACUUCAACAACAGUUCAACUCUGG